CAAUUUUAGUGACAGUUGACACAGUGAACCCCUCCCCCUCCUCGACGCCUCAACUCUACCUUCGCGCCGCGGGCAUUUUGAAUCACCUCAGGAGUCGAGAGCCAUCGUUUUUCAGCGAGGACAGCUGUUAUUCGGAGAAAAAAGGGAAGCAUGGUUCAGCCCUGGACGAAGCCAUCAUCCAGCUACUGGAUUUCUGGAGGAACGCUUGCGAAAUGUCAGGAAGAGAACCCGUCGUGAAAACUGCACAAGCCGUGAGAAAGAGGAUUCUCAAGCCAUAAGCAGCACCUUGGUUAUACCAGAGCCAAGUAUUUCACCUGACAGAGCAGUACAACUUGCAGAAUGGCUUAAAAAUAAUAUGUGGCCAGCUAACCAAGUUGCAGAUUACAUGAAAGAAACAGCCAUCCACAGGGCUCAGUGGAUAAGAGCUAACGGGACAAAAUCUAUCGAGGAAAUAACUUGUGAAUUCCCUCGACUCCUUGAUACGCCAGGCAUGAUUUCACAAGACUUCUCUGUAUUAUUCCCCGACCACGCAGAGAGACUUUUCCAAACUUGGAAAAUGAGUUUCAAAGACAAAAUCCUUUGCUUUGCCAGCCAGGAGAAAAAGGCGCAGGAGCUUCUCCAGAAUUUAGACAGUUUGUCUCCAGAAGUCCAAAGUGACGUUGCACUCAGGCUGCUUCCUGUAAUACUGCCCACCCCUGUCUACAAAAAGGGAUGAAAAUGUUCAAACCAAGCUUGGAAGAAAAUAUCAAGUCUUUCAUUGAAUUCAAGCAUGUUGGGACCAACAUGGUUGAUUAUUUGAAGGAGGCAGAGCUCACUAAACCCUUCCCCUUUGUCCUUGGUCUUGGGGAUGACAGUCAAUGCCAUCAAGCCUAUGUAGUUGUUGGCAAACAGGCACUGCAUCAAAACACACUCCUUGGUGCUGUGGACACGUGCUUUAAACUUUUUUAUGUUUUAGACAUCUAUUUCCCGAAGCAGUGUGCACCAGUGUGGGAGUUUUUGCAGACUGUUGUCUACAAACUCCCAGGAACUGAAUCUCCUUCUGUAAGACUGCUCCGUGGAUAUUUGUCAUGUUGAGCAGUACUGGAACCAUGACAACUAACCCUUUCUAAAAUGUUAUGCAAGUUUAUAUUAAGAGGAAAGUUGUCAGACUAAUACAUAUAUCUAAAGCAUUUUACUUGUAUCACUUUGUUAGUGUGCCUCUUUGUUAAACAUACUCUCUAAAAAGUUAUGAGUUUAUAUUAAGG